AGCGGCGUAGAGCAGCGGUAGCUCGCCUGCCUCAUAAGCAGGAGGUCGCGGGUUCGACUCCCGCCGCCGCCA
rnacentral:tRNA from 1 species